CUCCCAAACUUUAUUUGCAGAAGCAAUUUCAAAGAAGUCGCUACCCUACGUCUAAUCCAAUGAUAUUGUUAAUCCUUUUUGACUUUUAGCCACCACACAGAAACCUUCAUCAAAGAUCAAUUGUCAAUACACUAUCCGCACAGAGACAAAACCCCCAAAUUCUCGUAAUUAGGGUUCCUAAUCUCCAUGGAAAUCCACUCGUAAGUGGCGGACCAGAAAUUAUUUUCUAGGGGCGUGCACGAGGGGUUUAACCAAGGGAUGAUGAUUUUUCGCUCAAGGCUAUUGAUUUUGGACUCUCAGUUUUCUUCAAAGUUCAAGCCAGGUAAAUAAUAAUUCUGAUUAUAAUUAUUAUCUUUCGUCAGUUAAUGUUUCAGGUCAAAUCUUCACGGAUGUGGUGGGAAGCCCGUAUUGUGUUGCUCCGGAGGUUCUUUUGAAGCAUUAUGGUCCAGAAGCGGAUGUGUGGACCGCAUGAGUGAUACUUUACAUAUUACUCAGUGGUGUGCCCCCGUUUUGGGCUGAAACAUAACAGGGGAUAUUUGAUGCGGUUUUAAAGGGAUACACAGUCUUUGAGUCGGACUCGUGGCCUCUUAUAUCUGACAGUGCAAAGGAUCUUAUUAGGAAGAUGUUAUGCUCUCGACCUUCAGACCGCCUAACUGCUCAUGAAAUUCUAUGUCAUCCUUGGAUUUGUGAAAACGGUGUUGCUCCUGAUAGAGCACUGGAUCCAGCCGUUCUUUCUGGUUUGAAGCAGUUCUCUGUAAUGAACAAGUUAAAGAAAAUGGCUUUGCGGGUUAUCGAAAGCCUGUCUGAAGAGGAGAUUGUUGGUUUGAGAGAGAUGUUCAGAGAAAAAGAUAAGGUGGAUAAAGAUACUAUGCUCGAUAGGAUAUCACAAAUUGAAGCUAUGUUAACAAGUACAAUUCGAAGAUAGGCUACAAACACUUGGUUUUAAAAGUUUCGAUGUUUAUCAUAUUAGGAUAAUUUUAGUUAUCUGAUGUUUUAGCUGGUAUUUCUAUUAGAAUGUUUUAUAUGCUUUUGAUACAGAGAUGUUUUAUAUAAUUUGGGGUUUUGUGAUCUUA